rnacentral:rRNA from 1 species
AGCAGCCGCGGUAAUUCCAGCUCCAAUAGCGUAUAUUAAAGUUGUUGCAGUUAAAAAGCUCGUAGUUGAAUUUCGGGAUUGACACAUCGGUCGUGCCUUAAGGGGUAUGAACUGGUGUAGUCAAUUUCUCACCUUCUGGAGAACCGCAAUGCCCUUAAUUGGGUGUCGCGGGGAACCAGGACCUUUACUUUGAAAAAAUUAGAGUGUUUAAAGCAGGCAUUUUGCUUGAAUACAUUAGCAUGGAAUAAUAAAAUAGGACGGAUGAUUCUAUUUUGUUGGUUUCUAGGACCACCGUAAUGAUUAAUAGGGAUAGUUGGGGGCAUUAGUAUUCAAUUGUCAGAGGUGAAAUUCUUGGAUUUAUUGAAGACUAACUACUGCGAAAGCAUUUGCCAAGGAUGUUUUCAUUAAUCAAGAACGAAAGUUAGGGGAUCGAAGACGAUCAGAUAACCGUCGUAGUCUUAACCAUAAAACUAUGCCGACUAGGUAAUCAGACGAUGUUAAUUUUUUAAAUGUACUCGUU